rnacentral:rRNA from 1 species
UACGGAGGGGGCGAACGUUAUUCGGAUUUACUGGGCGUAAAGCGAUCGUAGGCGGAAUGUUAAGUUAGAUGUGAAAGCCCUGGGCUCAACCCGGGAACUGCAUUUAAAACUGGCAAUCUAGAGUGUUGGAGAGGAUGACGGAAUUCCAAGUGUAGAGGUGAAAUUCGUAGAUAUUUGGAGGAACAUCAGUGGCGAAGGCGGUUGUCUGGCCAAACACUGACGCUGAGGGUCGAAAGCGUGGGGAGCAAACAGG